GAUGAAGAACGCAGCGAAAUGCGAUAAGUAAUGUGAAUUGCAGAAUUCAGUGAAUCAUCGAAUCUUUGAACGCACCUUGCGCUCCUUGGUAUUCCGAGGAGCAUGCCUGUUUGAGUGUCAUUAAUAUAUCAACCUUCUCUUUUUUGAGUUGUUUGGAUGUGGGGGUUUGCUGGCCUCUUAAAUGAUUCAGCUCCCCUGAAAUGCAUUAGCAGAACAACCUGUUCAUUAGCGUGAUAAUUAUCUAUGCUAUUGAAUGUGAGGGCAGUUCAGCUUUCUAACCGUCCUUGGACAAUUCAUCAUGAAUGUGACCUCAAAUCAGGUAGGACUACCCGCUGAACUUAAGCAUAUCAAUAAGCGGAGGA
rnacentral:misc_RNA from 1 species